rnacentral:rRNA from 1 species
ACAGCAGCAGCCACGGUAAUACAGAGGGUGCGAGCGUUAAUCGGAUUUACUGGGCGUAAAGCGUGCGUAGGCGGCUUUUUAAGUCGGAUGUGAAAUCCCUGAGCUUAACUUAGGAAUUGCAUUCGAUACUGGGAAGCUAGAGUAUGGGAGAGGAUGGUAGAAUUCCAGGUGUAGCGGUGAAAUGCGUAGAGAUCUGGAGGAAUACCGAUGGCGAAGGCAGCCAUCUGGCCUAAUACUGACGCUGAGGUACGAAAGCAUGGGGAGCAAACAGGAUUAGAUACCCCUGUAGUCCCUGUCUCUUAUAA